GGUGCUAUAGUGUAGUGGUUAUCACUCAGGAUUUUGAUGGGUCAAAUCCAGGCACACUUCGUUUCCUGAAACCCAUGUUCGAGCCAUGGUAGCACCU